GGCUCAGAACGAACGCUGGCGGCGUGCCUAACACAUGCAAGUCGAGCGAGAAAGCCCGCAAGGGUGAGUAAAGCGGCGCACGGGUGCGUAACACGUGGGUAAUCUGCCCUGGAGUCCGGAAUAACUCGCCGAAAGGCGUGCUAAUGCCGGAUGAGACCACGGGGACUUCGGUCCUCGCGGAAAAAGGUGGCCUCUGUAUACAAGCUAUCACUCCAGGAUGAGCCCGCGGCCCAUCAGCUAGUUGGCGGGGUAAAGGCCCACCAAGGCUACGACGGGUAGCUGGUCUGAGAGGACGAUCAGCCACACUGGAACUGAGACACGGUCCAGACUCCUACGGGAGGCAGCAGUGGGGAAUCUUGCGCAAUGGGCGAAAGCCUGACGCAGCAACGCCGCGUGUGUGAUGAAGGUCUUCGGAUCGUAAAGCACUGUCGCGAGGGACGAAUAAGGGUUGGGUGAACAAUCCAGUCCGAUGACGGUACCUCGAAAGGAAGCACCGGCUAACUCUGUGCCAGCAGCCGCGGUAAUACAGAGGGUGCGAGCGUUGUUCGGAAUUAUUGGGCGUAAAGCGCGUGUAGGCGGCUCAGCAAGUUAGGUGUGAAAGCCCUCGGCUUAACCGAGGAAGUGCGCCUGAAACUACUGAGCUUGAGUACCGGAGAGGGUGGUGGAAUUCCCGGUGUAGAGGUGAAAUUCGUAGAUAUCGGGAGGAACACCAGCGGCGAAGGCGACCACCUGGACGGCUACUGACGCUGAGACGCGAAAGCGUGGGGAGCAAACAGGAUUAGAUACCCUGGUAGUCCACGCUGUAAACGAUGAGCGCUAGGUGUUGCGGGUGUUGACCCCUGCAGUGCCGCAGCUAACGCAUUAAGCGCUCCGCCUGGGGAGUACG
rnacentral:rRNA from 1 species